rnacentral:tRNA from 1 species
GGGGCUGUAGCUCAGUGGUAGAGCACUUGCCUUGCAUGUGUGAGGCACUGGGUUUGAUCCUCAGCACCA